CAAUAAAACCACUUCAGCCCUUCACCAGGAUAACAGAAAUAAUUUCAACCUGGAGAAGGGGACUGGCCGGUGACCACAUGAGCAGUGACCUUAGUGAGCGGUUUGCCCUGGAGACAGUCUGCUCACAGAGAGGAGACUUCACCAGAGUCCUGCCUGGCUUCGUAGGGAGCAGUUCCACAGCAUCGCCCGGGGACUCCAUGACAACUGGUGGCAGGAUACUGUUCAAGGACAAGGCAAAGUUUGUACCUUGGAGAAGUUUUUAACCUAAGCUGGCAGAAGUCCUCUUCUUCCCAGCAGGCUCCUACAUAAUCAUAGGGUUGGGGCCAGAAGCAGCUUCCUGUAGAGACUGCUUAUGACGACUUCUGAGAUGCCCAAGAGGGAAGAGAGAAAGGCAUACUUUGUGGCUUCCUCCUUCCCCAACCCCUCCAGAUAAUCUGGUGCAAUGUGAGGGAAGGCUGAGAAGAAAUACUUUGCCAGGGUUAUGAACAUGCCACUCAUCCUUCAGGCAAGAAGUUGGGGGUUAGAAACCUCCAGCUUUCAUCCAGACCACACCACAUGAUCCAUUGUCUACAGCCAAGCUCUACAAUACAACUGCUUUUGCUCCAACCCCUCAGAGACAAACACCUACAAGAUCUCUAUCAAGCGUUCUUACAACUACAAUACCCUCCUGCUGAAGUGAAGAAACAGAUUGACAGAGCCAGAAGAGUACCCAGAAGUCACCUACUACAGGACAGGUCCAACACAAAAAGUAACAGAAUGCCACUAGCCAUCACCUUCAGCCCCCAACUAAAACCUCUCCAGCGCAUCAUCAAGGAUCUACAACCUAUCCUGAAGGAUGACCCAUCACUCUCACUGAUCUUGGGAAACACGCCAGUCCUUGCUUACAGACAGCCCCCCAACCUGACGCAAAUACUCACCAGCAACCACACUCCACACAACAAAAACACUAACCCAGGAACCUAUCCUUGCAACAAAGCCCGUUGCCAACUGUGUCAACACAGUUGACACAAAUGGACACAAUGGACGUGAAGAAUUGUAACAUUCAAAAACCAGUCGGAGAACACUUCUAUCUCCCUGGACACUUGAUUACAGACUUAAAAGUCACAAUAUUACAACAAAAGAACUUCAAAAACAGACUCCAAUGAAAGACUGCUGAAUUGGAAUUAAUUUGCAAACUGGAGGCCAUUAAAUUAGGCUUGAAUAAAGACUGGGAGUGGAUGGGUCACUACACAAAGUAAAACUAUUUCCCCAUGUUUAUUUCCCCCCUACUGUUCCUCAUACAUUCUUGUCAACUACUGGAAAUGGCCCAUCUUGAUUAUCAUUACAAAAGUUUUUUUUUUUCUCCUGCUGGUAAUAGCUCACCUUAACUGAUCACUCUCGUUAUAGUGUACAUGGUAACACCUGCUGUUUCAUGUUCUCUGUGUAUAUAAAAUCGUCCUACUGUAUUUUCCACUGUAUGCAUCUGAUGAAGUGGGCUGUAGCCCACGAAAGCUUAUGCUCAAAUAAAUUUGUU